CUCCUACUUCCUCCGUUCCACAAUACAUGCCUUCUAUUUGUCAAAAUAUAGAUGUAUCUAGACAUGUUUUAGUAUAUAGGUACAUCCAUUUUUGGACAAAUGAAAGUCAAGUAUUUUGGAACGGAGGGAGUAAAAU
rnacentral:pre_miRNA from 1 species